CUGCACGGAAGUGCGAUAGGGGAAUCCCAAGUGCGAGGGCAUAUUAGCCCUCGCUUUUGUUGACUGUAAGGUGGUCGACGAAUAAGAGCUGGGCAAGACCGGUGCCAGCCGCCGCGGUAAUACCGGCAGCUCAAGUGAUGUCCCAUAUUAUUGGGCCUAAAGCGUCCGUAGCUGGCCGACCAAGUCUCCCGGGAAAUCCACCCGCCCAACGGGUGGGCGUCCGGUAGAAACUGGCCGGCUUGGAACCGGAAGGCUCAGAGAGUACGUCCGGGGUAGGAGUGAAAUCCCGUAAUCCCGGACGGACUACCGAUGGCGAAAGCACUCUGAGAAGACGGCUUCGACAGUGAGGGACGAAAGCUCGGGUCUCAAACCGGAUUAGAUACCCGGGUAGUCCGAGCUGUAAACGAUGCUCGUUAGGUGUGGCACCCACUACGAGUGGGUGCUGCGCCGCAGGGAAGCCGCUAAAC
rnacentral:rRNA from 1 species